GUGGGGAAUUGUUCGCAAUGGGCGAAAGCCUGACGACGCAACGCCGCGUGGAGGAUGAAGAAUUUCGGUUCGUAAACUCCUUUCGACCGAGAUGAAUACCCAUGGACCUAACACGUCUGUGGGCUGACAGUAUCGAGAGAAGAAGCCCCGGCUAACUCUGUGCCAGCAGCCGCGGUAAUACAGGGGGGGCAAGCGUUGUUCGGAAUUACUGGGCGUAAAGGGUUCGUAGGUGGCCAACUAAGUCAGACGUGAAAUCCCUCAGCUUAACUGGGGAACUGCGUCUGAUACUGGUUGGCUUGAGUGCAGGAGAGGAAUGCGGAAUUCCAGGUGUAGCGGUGAAAUGCGUAGAUAUCUGGAGGAACACCGGUGGCGAAGGCGGCAUUCUGGACUGUAACUGACACUGAGGAACGAAAGCCAGGGGAGCAAACGGGAUUAGAAACCCCAGUAGUCC
rnacentral:rRNA from 1 species